GGUGAGUAACGCGUGGGUAACCUGCCCUGUACACACGGAUAACAUACCGAAAGGUAUGCUAAUACGGGAUAAUGUGUUUUGAUCGCAUGGUCGAGACAUCAAAGCUCCGGCGGUACAGGAUGGACCCGCGUCUGAUUAGCUAGUUGGUGAGGUAAUGGCUCACCAAGGCGACGAUCAGUAGCCGACCUGAGAGGGUGAUCGGCCACAUUGGAACUGAGACACGGUCCAAACUCCUACGGGAGGCAGCAGUGGGGAAUAUUGCACAAUGGGCGAAAGCCUGAUGCAGCAACGCCGCGUGAGCGAUGAAGGCCUUCGGGUCGUAAAGCUCUGUCCUCAAGGAAGAUAAUGACGGUACUUGAGGAGGAAGCCCCGGCUAACUACGUGCCAGCAGCCGCGGUAAUACGUAGGGGGCUAGCGUUAUCCGGAUUUACUGGGCGUAAAGGGUGCGUAGGCGGUCUUUCAAGUCAGGAGUGAAAGGCUACGGCUCAACCGUAGUAAGCUCUUGAAACUGUAAGACUUGAGUGCAGGAGAGGAGAGUGGAAUUCCUAGUGUAGCGGUGAAAUGCGUAGAUAUUAGGAGGGACACCAGUUGCGAAGGCGGCUCUCUGGACUGUAACUGACGCCGAGGCACGAAAGCGUGGGGAGCAAACAGGAUUAGAUACCCUGGUAGUCCACGCC
rnacentral:rRNA from 1 species